ensembl:lncRNA
CUUUUUUAUGGCUGACUAAGACUUGUACCCAGCCGAUUUCAAGGAUAUGGGCCAUCUUGGAGUUUUGAAAAAGCAUGUGCACUCCAAUUUGUGAAUUCAUUCAUCUGAGUUGGGGGCGGGGGUGAGUUCUUGGAGGAAAGGCUAAAUAAAAUACUCUGGAUGUUCCUAUGAGAUUGCAGCAGCCAUGAAAUUAAAAGACGCUUACUCCUUGGAAGGAAAGUUAUGACCAACCGAGACAGCAUAUUAAAAAGCAGAGACAUUACUUUGUCAACAAAAGUCCAUCUAGUCAAGGCUAUGGUUUUUCCAGUAGUCAUGUAUGGAUGUGAGAGUUGGACUAUAAAGAAAGCUGAGCACUGAAGAAUUGAUGCUUUUGAACUGUGGUGUUGGAAAAGACUCGAGAGUCCCUUGGACUGCAAGGAGAUCCAACCAGUCCAUCCUAAAGGAGAUCAGUCCUGCAUGUUUAUUGGAAGGACUGAUGCUGAAGCUGAAACUCCAAUACUUUGGCCACCUGAUGUGAAGAACUGAUUCAUUGGGAAAGACCCUGAUGCUGGGAAAGAUUGAGGGCAGGAGGAGAAGGGGACGACAGAGGAUGAGAUGGUUGGAUGGCAUCACCGACUCAAUGGACAUGGGUUUGGGUGGACUCCGGGAGUUGGUGAUGGACGGGGAGGCCUGGUGUGCUGCGAUUCAUGGGGUCGCAAAGAGUCGGACACAACUGAGCAACUGAACUGAACUGAGAUACAAUUUUAUUUAAAAAAAAAUGUGUUGCUAAAUCCUUCAUUAGAUCUA